rnacentral:rRNA from 1 species
AUUGAACGCUGGCGGCAGGCUUAAAACAUGCAAGUCGAGUGAGCGGCGGACGGGUGCGUAAUGUAUGGGGAUCUGCCCGUUAGAGGGGGCUAACUGCUGGAAACGGUGGCUAACACUGCCCACUCACGGAUGGACCCCUAUGGGAGUAACUAGUAGGUGGGGCAAAGGUUCACCUGGGCGACGAUCUCUAGCUGGUCUGAGAGGAUGGACAGCCACACUGGAACGUGGACACGUACCAGACUCCUACGGGAGGCAGCGGUGGGGAAUAUUGCACAAUGGGCGCAGACCGGAUGCAGCCAUGCCGCGUGUAUGAAGAAGGCCUUAGGGUUGUAAAGUACUUUCAGCGGGGAGGCGUUACCCGCAGAAGAGGCACCGGCUAACUCCGUGCCUGCAGCCGCGGUAAUUC